rnacentral:rRNA from 1 species
GACGAACGCUGGCGGCGUGCCUAAUACAUGCAAGUAGAACGCACAGUUUAUACCGUAGCUUGCUACACCAUAGACUGUGAGUUGCGAACGGGUGAGUAACGCGUAGGUAACCUGCCUGGUAGCGGGGGAUAACUAUUGGAAACGAUAGCUAAUACCGCAUAAUAUUAAUUAUUGCAUGAUAAUUAAUUGAAAGGUGCAAUUGCACCACUACCAGAUGGACCUGCGUUGUAUUAGCUAGUAGGUGAGGUAACGGCUCACCUAGGCGACGAUACAUAGCCGACCUGAGAGGGUGAGCGGCCACACUGGGACUGAGACACGGCCCAGACUCCUACGGGAGGCAGCAGUAGGGAAUCUUCGGCAAUGGACGAAAGUCUGACCGAGCAACGCCGCGUGAGUGAAGAAGGUUUUCGGAUCGUAAAGCUCUGUUGUAAGAGAAGAACGGGUGUGAGAGUGGAAAGUUCACACUGUGACGGUAUCUUACCAGAAAGGGACGGCUAACUACGUG